GAAAAAUGGAGUUAACAAAAAGAACGUUUUGUGAUGUAGAAAAUAAACUAGGCAGGCCACAAGCUCUCUGCCGCCUUCAUUUUCCUUGUCCAUCUGGCCUAAAUUUAGGGCGGCUGUGGGGCAGCAGUUGGGUAGACAACCUCUAAUUGUAGGUUCAAUUCCCAUCUUGCCAACCAAUGCGGUGAAGUGUCCUUGGGCUAGACCAAGGGUCUGCAACCUGCGGCACUGGAGCCACGUGUAACUCAUUAACAAACAGUAGAAGGACAGCGUACUAUAGUACCAAAAAAAAAAAAAGAAAAAAUCAAUGGACAUCAACAAGCACAACCAGUAUUAAGGUGCAAAAAAUAUGGCAGGAGUCACUUAAUUAGCACAGAUUUCAUUUUGGUUUGUUAGAUUUACAUUUCUGGCUGAGAUCAACAGUGAAAAUAACUAUUUUUUAUUUAAUCACUGCUUACAUUACACUUGCUAAUGCUACUUUUACGGCAUUGACAUGAUCAUAUUUGACAGGAUGUCUUUUAUUUUGAAAGGAACUUCUGUCAAGAGGGAAAAAACAGGCAAUUUUCUUUAAAAUGGUUGUGUUCUAUUCAUGCAAAUGAACAACAGCACAAUUAAUUUUUGUCAUAGUACCAACUAAAUAAAUACAAAUCAGUGUCUUAUUUUUUAAAGGGUGAAGGAAGACUUUGUGGUUCCUACUGAGCUGUAGUCAAUAAGAAAUUAACCCAAAUGGCUCUUUGUGAGUUGAAGGUUGCAGACUCCUGGGCUAGACACUGGACCUCACCUUAUCUCUGGUAAAAGGUUUGCGCCAGUGUCCGGCAGCAGAACCGCCAUUAGUGUGUGAAUACGUGAAUGGGACUGUGACUGUCAAAGCGCUUUGGACCUUUGAGGAAGGAAACACUAUACAGGUAUAUACCAUUUAAUAUAGCUGGACAACUCCAAUUUUGUCCACCAUUUUUGUUACAGUUUGGUUGGGGAUAGCUGUAAGCCAGUGCCAAAGAGCAUAAACAGAGAGCUCUGAGCAGCAGGGAGGGGAAAGGUCCUGCCCACAACUCAGAGUUGAAUGAACUACCGAACUACUGCCACUCUGCAGAAAUUAAUUCCCUCAAAGCAACAUUUUGUUUUUUUUCACCAAUUUUGGCCGAAAACAGCACAAUCAUAAUCAAAAGACCAAUGGAAAUUCUUUGGCAUAGAUCAAAAGAUGAUGGUAGUGGGUCUUUAUUUGGAAUAAUUGAUUGUAUCUAGUGGGGAGGACUCACAAACUGACUAUACAAUCAAUGAAUAUUUUUAGAUCAAAUGCCCCAAUAAAAGGUGCAGUUUUUUUUUUAUAUAUAUUCCGACGCACAAAAAGUAAUUAUGUUUUCACUUUGUUCCUUAUAAUCUGCUUGUUAGAGUUAGCACAUAACUGCUGUUGGACUAAACUACACUUCUUUUUCAUUAUUCUUUUAAGGCUACAACACCUUCACUUUAAUGGCUGCCAUUUUUCACUCUGUGCUGUUGCCCUCUCAUCUAUUCUUCAGAGUUAUUGAAGGAAGCCACCAAUGAGGCUGUCAGUACACAACCUGGUGGUGAUAUGAAACGCCGUGUCACUGAUGUCACCAAUGAAGAUGAGGGUUGAACUGAUUCAAGUGAAAUCCCACGACCCACAAUGACCAUUGCAACAAAAAAUAAAUAAAUAAAUCCAGCCCUG